AAAGUACUCCCUCCGUCCCAAAAUUCUUGUCUUAGAUUUGUCUAGAGACGGAUGUAUCAAGUCACAUUUUAGUAUUAGAUACAUCCGUAUCUAGACAAAUCUAAGACAAGAAAUUUGGGACAGAGGGUGCAGUUG
rfam:Triticum aestivum genome assembly, contig: Triticum_aestivum_CS42_TGACv1_scaffold_453706_5DL